GGCUCCCCGCCCUGUGGGAAGACCGCUUUCCCUCUCCUACUCCUCCUGCUUGUGUUCCUGCUCUUGCUAUCUCUCUCUCUGUCAAAUAAAUAAGAUCUUAAAAAAAAAAAAAAAGCCUGCUAUAACAUAGUCCAUGAAGACCUGGAUGGACAUCUAACACUCAGAGCAUCAUCAGGGUUGCAGAGGAUGGCCAUGGAAGAAGAGGACUCCAGCACCUUCUAUUAGGCAGAUUCUGUUGUGUUGGUACUAUUAUUGCAUUAUGUAGCAGGGAACAUUUGGUGGCUCUGAGUGGGAGCAGGAAGAGUUGAGAGAUCUGGUCAUCUAAACCUGCAAGAAGGAUUAUUCACGGAUGCCUUUAAGAGCCAUCAUUUGUCAAGAAAAACGUAACUACUAAAACUGUGCAAACGUAACUACGUAAAAACUGUGCAAAACGUAACUACUAAAAUUAUGACUUGUACUGCCAGGCAGUCCUCUUUUCAGCUAGAUUUGCUUUUCCAACUCUCCUGAGCUGCUCUGAAUCUGAACAGGUGUAUAUAGCAGAUGGCAGCUGUGCCCAGGACCCAGUGCCUACAGAGAGCUGGACACCCUCCUCCCUUCAUGCUGAUGGGCCUGAGGCCAGGUGACUAACACUGCUGCUGCCCCUGGCAGGCCCAGAGGAAAGAUUGAUGGCACGGACAUUGCUUGGGCUGGCCAACAGAGCCAUCGAUUUUCAUUUAGGAGAAUAAUUAAAUAUUAAUUUUCACUUUGUUAAGCUGGAGAGGGUGAAUAAAGCCAAUCCUGGCAGUACAAAGGCAGGCCAUGUUGGAAGCCUGUGGAUGAAAUGGUGGGAGAGGGCAGAUGUACCCAGUCAUCAUCCCCUCCAGAACCUUA
rnacentral:lncRNA from 1 species